ACGCUCGACACCUACGGGGGCAGCAGUGGGGAAUAUUGCACAAUGGGGGAAACCCUGAUGCAGCGACGCCGCGUGAAGGAAGAAGUAUCUCGGUAUGUAAACUUCUAUCAGCAGGGAAGAAAGUGACGGUACCUGACUAAGAAGCCCCGGCUAACUACGUGCCGGCAGCCGCGGUAAUCUGAGCGGGCUGGCAAGGC
rnacentral:rRNA from 1 species